rnacentral:rRNA from 1 species
GAUGAACGCUGGCGGCGUGCCUAAUACAUGCAAGUCGAGCGAACGGACGAGAAGCUUGCUUCUCUGAUGUUAGCGGCGGACGGGUGAGUAACACGUGGAUAACCUACCUAUAAGACUGGGAUAACUUCGGGAAACCGGAGCUAAUACCGGAUAAUAUUUUGAACCGCAUGGUUCAAAAGUGAAAGACGGUCUUGCUGUCACUUAUAGAUGGAUCCGCGCUGCAUUAGCUAGUUGGUAAGGUAACGGCUUACCAAGGCAACGAUGCAUAGCCGACCUGAGAGGGUGAUCGGCCACACUGGAACUGAGACACGGUCCAGACUCCUACGGGAGGCAGCAGUAGGGAAUCUUCCGCAACGGGCGAAAGCCUGACGGAGCAACGCCGCGUGAGUGAUGAAGGUCUUCGGAUCGUAAAACUCUGUUAUUAGGGAAGAACAUAUGUGUAAGUAACUGUGCACAUCUUGACGGUACCUAAUCAGAAAGCCACGGCUAACUACGUG